GUUGAUGAGUCGUUCCAUAACUUUUUCUAAGCAUUUUAAAUGAAUAGAAUCGGUGCAUGCAUUUCACAUUAGUCUGUGGGCUGAUGUUCUGCGGGCAAAUAAUUAGCACAGCCCGUGUCAGUUUCAGACGGCACUUCUAACGAGCCUCGCCCUCCGCCCUCGGACGUUACCAGCGAUUAAUUAUACGUCUACCUCUAAGCGGUCUUCGGACGCGUCGCUUACCUCCGCUUUAAUAGGUCUUGAUGGAAAAAUUGAUUGCUUGCUGCGUACUAACUGCGUACUACACUUCUUUUAAAGAUUUUGUAUUCAUUAACUUUAUAUGUUAUGUGAUCUAACUAAGAUAAGGUCGGAAAAGUGACUUCAAAGAGAACUGUUUUUUUUUUAAAUAUUUUUAUAACAAACGAGCGAGGUGUUUGUGGCUAUCUCACCAGAAGCUGCUCGUGCUCCACGGCGCAGGCUCUGGGCCUCAGGGGAGCCAACUACCCGGCACAGGAAGUUUCAAACAUGAAACCAGCAAACUGACAUACAAGUGAAGUUAAUAAAGAGCGUGUAACAAGAGAGAAUAAGUUGAAAAAUAGUUAUAGCAUAUUUCUCAAGAUUUAAAGUUCUUUAUUGAUUCAUGAAUUACUAGAACCAUUCAAUCUCAAUUCCUGUACGUUCUUAUAACAGACUCCGCUUUCAGUCCAAAAAUGUUUUUCAAUACUUUUCCUUCAAAUUAAUUUAUCUUUUACCUGCCCAAGAUAUCGACUGCUGUGGGGGGAUGUUCUUGUGAUGCUACGGAGGUCCUUGAGUGAGGAGUCAGCUCGGAAAGGAACCUUCUCUGAGUCGCAGCACAGAGCGCCAGGGCCUGAGAUGGUCUCCGGAAAGCCGCUAUGAUCGCAGAGGGACGCCUUAAGCACACAUUUUUGUUGAUAAGUUGUUAUAUACUUAUAUGUAUUUUAUUUAAUGCUAAAGUUGGCAACCGAGCAGACGGCCUAGCUGAUGGAGGUAGUAACGUCGUCCAUGGAUAUCCGCAACAUAGAUUAGCGGAUGUGUUGCCACCCUUGAUUAGGAAAAAGGGGGAGGGAAGAGGGAGAGGAAAAAAUUGGGCAAGGGAGGGAAAAGGGAAAGGGCAACCAGCUCUCACUCAUCGGACUUAACGCAGCCAUUAAUGACUACUUUACGCCGAUCUUCUGCGAGAGGGUGGUACUUCCCCGGUCGAGUCAGCCCAUGUUCCAGCUACAGUAACUUGACCACAGCUAGGUUCUACCACCUACUAUAUAUUGUAUAAUAUGUAUAUUACAAGUACAAAAUAAUAAUAUUAUUUUUUAGAGAUUACAAGACUACAUAUUAAGCAAUCUAAUUAAAAAUAUAUAUACA